rnacentral:misc_RNA from 1 species
GAUGAAGAACGCAGCGAAAUGCGAUAAGUAAUGUGAAUUGCAGAAUUCAGUGAAUCAUCGAAUCUUUGUACGCACAUUGCGCCCGCCAGCAUUCUGGCGGGCAUGCCUGUUCGAGCGUCAUUUCAACCCUCAAGCUCUGCUUGGUGUUGGGGCCCUACGGUUGACGUAGGCCCUUAAAGGUAGUGGCGGACCCUCUCGGAGCCUCCUUUGCGUAGUAACUAACGUCUCGCAUUGGGAUUCGGAGGGACUCUUGCCGUAAAACCCCCAAAUUUUCUAAUGGUUGACCUCGGAUCAGGUAGGAAUACCCGCUGAACUUAAGCAUAUCAAUAAGCGGAGGA